AAGUCCCGCAGGUCCUUAUCACUGAGUCGGUGAUCCUUCUCAAAGGUCCGAGCAGAGAUUAUUCUUCCACUGCCAAUCCUUCGUCCGCCAAGCAGGCGAAGCCCAUCACUGUCUUUUUCCAAUGGACUUCCUGAGUGCCGGGAACUAACAGCGGCUGUCACAUGGCAGCCCCCUCCAAAGCUUCGUCUCUGUGGGCUGAGAACAACAUCUAAGUCAUCUUCUUUCACACGCUCUCGUGGAUCUGGAAAGGUGGCAGAAAGGGAAAGUUAAGCAAACCAGUAGGGUAUUUUUAUUUUCUCACUGGUAUGUCCAUGACUAGUGGUGGUGAGAGUAUUGGAAAAGAAUUACCACUGAAAUAGUUACAGAGUGAUAUGUACAUUACAUAUUUAAAUAAGACUGAGUCUUUUGCUUUUUCUCUUUGGAGCAAUAAAUGUACUUCAUAAUAAUUUUCCAGGA
rnacentral:lncRNA from 1 species